CCUACGGGAGGCAGCAGUAGGGAAUCUUCCGCAAUGGACGAAAGUCUGACGGAGCAACGCCGCGUGAACGAUGAAGGCCUUCGGGUCGUAAAGUUCUGUUGUUAGGGAAGAACAAGUGCUAGUUGAAUAAGCUGGCACCUUGACGGUACCUAACCAGAAAGCCACGGCUAACUACGUGCCAGCAGCCGCGGUAAUACGUAGGUGGCAAGCGUUGUCCGGAAUUAUUGGGCGUAAAGCGCGCGCAGGCGGUUUCUUAAGUCUGAUGUGAAAGCCCCCGGCUCAACCGGGGAGGGUCAUUGGAAACUGGGAAACUUGAGUGCAGAAGAGGAAAGUGGAAUUCCAAGUGUAGCGGUGAAAUGCGUAGAGAUUUGGAGGAACACCAGUGGCGAAGGCGACUUUCUGGUCUGUAACUGACGCUGAGGCGCGAAAGCGUGGGGAGCAAACAGGAUUAGAUACCCUGGUAGUCCACGCUGUAAACGAUGAGUGCUAAGUGUUAGAGGGUUUCCGCCCUUUAGUGCUGAAGUUAACGCAUUAAGCACNCCNCCGUCGGNGGACGGUACGGCGAGACGAGAAGUAAAGUAAAGUAGUAGCGUGAGAGNGCGACGACGACGACGAGGGAGGAGG
rnacentral:rRNA from 1 species